rnacentral:rRNA from 1 species
UGCCAGCCGCCGCGGUAAUACGGAGGGUCCAAGCGUUAUCCGGAUUUAUUGGGUUUAAAGGGUGCGUAGGCGGAAUUAUAAGUCAGUGGUGAAAUCCUGCAGCUUAACUGUAGAACUGCCAUUGAUACUGUAAUUCUUGAGUAUAGUUGAGGUGGGCGGAAUGUGUCAUGUAGCGGUGAAAUGCAUAGAUAUGACACAGAACGCCGAUAGUGAAGACAGCUCACCAAACUAUCACUGACGCUGAGGCACGAAAGCGUGGGGAGCGAACAGGAUUAGAUA